AUACGUAGGGGGCGAGCGUUGUCCGGAAUGAUUGGGCGUAAAGGGCGCGUGGGCGGCCCGGUAAGUCUGGAGUGAAAGUCCUGCUUUUAAGGUGGGAAUUGCUUUGGAUACUGUCGGGCUUGAGUGCAGGAGAGGUAAGUGGAAUUCCCAGUGUAGCGGUGAAAUGCGUAGAGAUUGGGAGGAACACCAGUGGCGAAGGCGACUUACUGGACUGUAACUGACGCGGAGGCGCGAAGGUGUGGGGAGCAAACAGGAUUAGAUACCCUGGUAGUCCACGCUGUAAGCGAUGAAUGCUAGGUGUAGGGGGUAUCGACCCCUUCUGUGCCGCAGUUAACACAAUAAGCAUUCAGUCUGGGGAGCACGGCCGCAAGGUUGAAGCUCAAAUGAAUUGACGGGG
rnacentral:rRNA from 1 species